AUGGCAGCAGGCGCGAAACUUGCCUAAUCCUGCGGGGAGGCGGUUAUGAGAAGUGAUAUGUGCGUGAUUGCAAAUUGAUUGCGUGUGAUUGGAGGGCAAGUCGGGUGCCAGCAGCCGCGGUAAUACCUGCUCCAAGAGUGUCUAUGGUGAAUGCUGCAGUUAAAAUGUCUGUAGUCGUGUGCGUGCACCACGUUGUUGGAGCGGUGCUUGAGGCCGCGAGUGGACGUGGGCACGUGCGGUGGCGGCGGACGAGGGGCGCUGGAUAGUUGGGCGAGAGGUGAAAUGCGAAGACCCUGACUGGACGGACGGAAGCGAAGGCGGCGCCCUUGGACGCUCGUGGCGACGAAGGACGAAGGCUAGAGGAUCGAAAUCGAUUAGAUACCGUUUUAGUUCUAGCAGUAAACGAUGCCGACUGUGCGGCGCGGGGCGUUGUGCACGAGAAAUCUUAAGUAUGUGGGUUCUGGGGAUAGUAUGCUCGCAAGGGUGAAACUUGAAGAGAUUGACGGAAGGACACCACAAGGAGUGGAGUGUGCGGCUUAAUUUGACUCAACGCGGGGCAACUUACCGGUCCCGAAGGACGCCAGCGAGCCUUGUGGCGAGGUGUGCGACGGUGGUGCAUGGCCGUUUGAAAUGGAUGGCGUGAGCUUUGGAUUGAGUUCUGUAAGACGUGAGACCCUAUGACGGUGUUCUGCGGAGCAAGGGAGGCUGGGAACAGAACAGGUCCGUGAUGCCCUGAGAUGGGCCGGGCUGCACGCGCACUACGAUAGAGGGCUUUUUGGCUCUGCUGUGAGGGAUGAAGCGCUGUGACGGGCUUCUGAACGUGGAAUUCCUAGUAAUAGCUGUUCACCAAGCGGCUUUGAAUGUGUCCCUGUCCUUUGACCCCC
rnacentral:rRNA from 1 species